rnacentral:rRNA from 1 species
UAGGAAUCUGCCUGGUAGUGGGGGAUAACGUCCGGAAACGGACGCUAAUACCGCAUACGUCCUACGGGAGAAAGCAGGGGACCUUCGGGCCUUGCGCUAUCAGAUGAGCCUAGGUCGGAUUAGCUAGUUGGUGGGGUAAUGGCUCACCAAGGCGACGAUCCGUAACUGGUCUGAGAGGAUGAUCAGUCACACUGGAACUGAGACACGGUCCAGACUCCUACGGGAGGCAGCAGUGGGGAAUAUUGGACAAUGGGCGAAAGCCUGAUCCAGCCAUGCCGCGUGUGUGAAGAAGGUCUUCGGAUUGUAAAGCACUUUAAGUUGGGAGGAAGGGCAGUAAAUUAAUACCUUGCUGUUUUGACGUUACCGACAGAAUAAGCACCGGCUAACUCUGUGCCAGCAGCCGCGGUAAUACAGAGGGUGCAAGCGUUAAUCGGAAUUACUGGGCGUAAAGCGCGCGUAGGUGGUUCGUUAAGUUGGAUGUGAAAUCCCCGGGCUCAACCUGGGAACUGCAUUCAAAACUGACGAGCUAGAGUAUGGUAGAGGGUGGUGGAAUUUCCUGUGUAGCGGUGAAAUGCGUAGAUAUAGGAAGGAACACCAGUGGCGAA